UAAGCAAAAUAGAAUCAAAGCAUCACAAGGGGGCAUUUGUGUCUUCUCUUGAUGUAACCCUACAAUGGAAAUUCCAUUCAUGUGCCCUGCCCGGCUUUGCUUAGUGACUUGCAGCUAUAUAAGUCCAAUAUAUAUAUCUUCUGAAAAAAAAAAAGAGAUCGAGAGAAAAGAUCCGUAUUCCUUAAUUGUAAAAACAUUCAUAACACGAUUUUCAUGUGUACAGUUCCUUUUUUUUUUAUCUGAAAACUGUGCAGAAGUAAUAACAGCAGGAUUUUGGGAUAGAAAGGUCUAGUUUCCUGUUUGGUGGAUCCCAAUGACUUCUACUGUUGUUUUAGCAGGGUCGGUCGUUUGUAGAAACUUUUUUUAACAAGGUAGUGGAGUUUAAAGGCAACAGCCCAUGAAUUAAAGAAGUGGGGUUGCAACACUUUUAAUGUAUUGGUGUCAUGAUUAAGUUGUGACAUCAAUACAUUGUAUUUCUAGGGUCAGCUAAACUAGAAGUUAAUUUCACAUAAAUGUGUAGAAUUAUACAACCUGUGCUCCAAGAAUUGUGAUGGUGUAUUAUGUGAUAUCGUGUUGAAUUUUGAAAAAUAUAUUUAGAUUUUUCUAUUCUACUCGAUGCUUUCAACCUAGCUACAUGGAAAUACUUUUAAAAUUAUGUCUUCUAGCUUAUUAAGUUAAGAAUAAGAGAAGGGACCCAUGAUCCUUAUUUGUCAAAACAUUAUUCUAUAUAUCUGAAAAUUGUGUUUUUUUUGUUUUGUGAAAGUCGACACAAUGGCUAUUCUUAAUUAGUAGCCUUAUUUAUUUAAUACGUAACGUUUUGUCAAGAAAACAUUUACUCAAAUAUUAUAUGUACAAUACACUGGUGAACAUAGAAAGUAGCAUUGAUUACGUCAAAAAUAUAUAUUAUUUGCAAUUGAUGUAGCCCGCUGCCAACACUGUAGAUUUGUUAGUUAUUUUUCGAAACGCUAUAACCCAGCAAACACACGACGUCGCAAAGACGUCUUUUUAUAGUUGUUUUGGGGUCGCGACGUCGGUGACCAGAAUCCGACGUUGUUCCAACGACGAUACACCGAACAAAGUCCGACGUCGCUAUCCCGACGUUGUUCCAACGGCUUUACAGCGACCAAAAUCCGACGUCGCUAAUUCCGACGUUGUUCCAACGGCUUUACAGCGACCAAAAUCCGACAUCGCUAUUCCGAUGUUGUAAAAACGUUGGAACAACGUCAUUAGAUCUACUGAAACUUUAAAAUAUUUCAAGCUGCAAAAAUAAUUUCAUUGCGUGAAUACUUUAUUGCAUUUUUGUCGGUUAGCGCUAUUCGUCAUGUCGUGAGGUUAGUAACAUUACCAUCUAACAUUAACUCGAAAGAGUUCCGUCCCAUGAUUUCCGACAUGUGUUCGAAAUUGACCAAUCAAAACAGGUCUAGCUCACGUGUCUUUUUGCGCUCGUUCAUGUUGUUGAUCGGAGUUUUGAAAGUUCGUGGAAGUAUUUAAAAAGCGCCCUGUACAGAUUAUAUGUCAAAUCAUGGCUUCUCCACCUGUUUCCAUGUUGUCUGCUGUUGGAAGAACAUCUAUGAGGGACUGUGAAUAGAAUCUUUAUCUUCUGCUUAUAUACAACACUUACUCAUGGGCCAGUGGCACAAUUUCUAGCUUUACAAGGAUAUGAUGGUGUUUGAUAAGUUGAUGACAAUGAAACUAAUGACCAUGUUAACAUCAGAGGAAAAGCAAACUGGGAGAAGAAAGGACAACAUUGUUUUCGAUCUUGACGGCCUGCGUAGACAUAGGACCAGGAAGGGGAGCUAGGAGUGGGAGAAGUGCCUGUGACUGAUAUGCACUAUCAGAUAGAAAUCCAGUUCAAAAGGAAAUCUGAAAUAGUGAAAUAGCAGAAAUCAUGACUUACAUACUGUGUAAUCUGCUCUAAAACACAAACAUUUGAAUUUAAAAUGUGUUAAAUGCAAAACAGUUCUACUUACAAAAUGAAUCUUUCAGUAAAUUCUAAAUGCAGCUGAAAAGUGAUAUACAUGAAAUGUGUGAAAACAGUGCAAGUUAAGUUUGAUUUUUUGUUGUAUACAAAACUGAAGAACUUGUAUCCAAUUCAUUUUCUGGAAGCACAGUGUUAUUGGAAUUUUUUCAGAUAAUUUAAAAUUCUACAAGGUGAAGAAAUUUCAAAUAGUAUCUCGAGAAAAAAAGUUUGCACAAUGAAUUGUUUUUCAAAAAUUUGUAGUUGUUUGUUCAUUGUUUUGCCAGUCCAUUACACUUAAACUUUACUUUAUUUAUUCUUAAUAUUUUUGUGAAUGGAUUAGAUUACUCAUUCACAAGGCAAAAUCAAGAAUUUGUUGGUUAAGGUUAAUGUUGUCUCAAGCUAAGUGAUGGGCAGACUUUAUCCAUUUGUAGUGAUUUUGAGAAUAAUUAAAAUAAUUUGUCACAUAAAUCAAUAUUAAAUGACCUGGCUGAAAGUUAUAUAUGAAAAAAAAAUGUAUUUUGUUCAGAUUGUUCUACAUAGAACUUUUUUGCAAGAUUUUUCAUUAAAAUCAUUUUCGGAAACUGCAUAAAAGAUGCCGCAAUUGGACCUUUAUAACUUUACUAUUUGAACUAUAAGAAUAGCUAUCCUACUCGAUACGGCAUCAGCUUUGCGUCACACCUUGGUUAAGUUUUUGGUACCAGUUUACAUUUUGGCAAAACCUUUGGGGAUAAAGGUUUGAAACUUUCAACACUUGUUAUCAUCACCAUAUCCAAUUUUAGGCAAGGGCACAUAACUCUAUCAAGGACUUUUGCUGAAUUUGGGUACCUUUUAUUUCCUACUAGUUCAUAUUUUGUGUAAACUGUUUGACAUAUGACAUUGAAACUUUUAUCACUUGAUUAUUAUUAUACCAUAGUCUGUAUCUGUAGGUAAGAGUACAUAACUCUUACAAGUAUUUUGGCUAAAUUAUGACUCUUUGGACUUGGAAAUUGGUACAAUUUCUUACCAGUCCAUGUUUUGUGAAAACUGUUUGAUGUGUGGCUUUGAAACUUUGAACACUUGUUUAUUAUAUGAUUGCCAUCUGUAAGUAAGUGUUCAUAACUCUGUCAACUAUUUUGGCUGAAUUAUGGCCUUUUUGUACUUAGAAAUUGGUUCAGUUUGCGUACAAGUACGUGUUUGUCAAAACUAUUUGACAUAUGGCUUUGAAACUUUGAACACUUACUUACUUACUAUCAUGAUUUCCAUCUGUAGGCAAGAGCAGAUAACUCUGUCAACGAGUUUGGAUAAAUUAUGGUCUUUUUUGGAGUUGGAAAUUGGUUCAGUCAAACUUAUUGGAAUGAUUAAGCAAGAUAUUCCAUUAAAUAACAAUAAAUCUUGUGCAGAAUGUAGUAUACUAAAUUUGAAAUAUUGCAGAAAAUUUACAUUCCUGCUGCAUUUUUACCAAUAUCUAAAUUUUAUUCUCAACCGUUUUAGAUCACAUUUCUGUGUCAAAUACACAUUCCCUGCUAAACUUUUUGAAAGGAAGAUGUUGAAAAAUUUCACCCAAACUGUGGGUGAGUAACUUUAAGAUUUUAGCUAGACUGUACAAACUAUAUGCAGAGCUAUCCUACUUGUUUUCUGUCAGCAUCUAAGAUCAGAUUUCACAGACCAAAGUGUGGUAUCGAACCAGUAUUUCUUGAAUUAUUUAAAGGAAUUUUAGGCAGUUUCACUCAUUAAUGGCUAUUAUUCAAUGCUUUUUGUUCAAACAUAAAGUAAUUGUAUAGGGAUAACGCAUGUUUUUCGUGCUACAACAUCUCCAGAAUCCCGAGGGAUUGGUUGGUACCCAACCCAGGUACCAAUGAUUCCCGAGGGAUUCUGUAGAUGUUAUAACACGAAAAUAACAUGCGCUUACGCUAUUCUGGCAUAAAACGCAAAACCAAGUAAAUGAAUAUAUUGUCCCUCAACGUCAUUAAAUUCCCAUGAAAUGCGUGGUAAAGUUUGUUUUAUCACGUUCACGUCAUUUCCUUAUGAAUUAUUCGUUUUGGGGCCGUAAUAUGUUUACGCUUUGCCACGGAACGCGCAUAAAUAAAAAGGUGUUACAACAGCAUGUGAGCGCGAGAAUCUCUCUGUUAAGACACCCCCGAAAAGUGACAAUAACAGCAGUUUUAUGCUAGAAUUCAAGAUAAUGUUUCUUCACUUAGUAUCAUGUUUUAAAAUAGUUAAACAUGCUGCUUCUAUGACAGCUCUUGUUUUUAUAUGCUAUGACCCUUUAAUACAUUCAAGCAAAAUGGUUGCCCAUUUCCACAAGUGUUUAUCGUUUUAUUCAUUGAUGAAAUAUUUUGUUAAAAAGCUAUUGAAUAGUCGAUUGACUGUUGCUGUCCCUGAACAGCUCUUUUUACAGAUUACAUGCAUCAACAAAAUUUAUUUUUGAUUGAAUGGUAUAUGUACUUUUUAAUAAAAACAUUUCAGUUGAA